rnacentral:rRNA from 3 species
GAGGUUGUGCCCUUGAGGCGUGGCUUCCGGAGCUAACGCGUUAAGUAGACCGCCUGGGGAGUACGGCCGCAAGGUUAAAACUCAAAUGAAUUGACGGGGGCCCGCACAAGCGGUGGAGCAUGUGGUUUAAUUCGAUGCAACGCGAAGAACCUUACCUGGUCUUGACAUCCACAGAACUUUCCAGAGAUGGAUUGGUGCCUUCGGGAACUGUGAGACAGGUGCUGCAUGGCUGUCGUCAGCUCGUGUUGUGAAAUGUUGGGUUAAGUCCCGCAACGAGCGCAACCCUUAUCCUUUGUUGCCAGCGGUCCGGCCGGGAACUCAAAGGAGACUGCCAGUGAUAAACUGGAGGAAGGUGGGGAUGACGUCAAGUCAUCAUGGCCCUUACGACCAGGGCUACACACGUGCUACAAUGGCGCAUACAAAGAGAAGCGACCUCGCGAGAGCAAGCGGACCUCAUAAAGUGCGUCGUAGUCCGGAUUGGAGUCUGCAACUCGACUCCAUGAAGUCGGAAUCGCUAGUAAUCGUGGAUCAGAAUGCCACGGUGAAUACGUUCCCGGGCCUUGUACACACCGCCCGUCACACCAUGGGAGUGGGUUGCAAAAGAAGUAGGUAGCUUAACCUUCGGGAGGGCGCUUACCACUUUGUGAUUCAUGACUGGGGUGAAGUCGUAACAAGGUAACCGUAGGGGAACCUGCGGUUGGAUCACCUCCUUACCUUAAAGAA